rnacentral:rRNA from 1 species
UAGGAUAACUACGUGAAAAUGUAGCUAAGAGAGAACAGAAUAAGACGUAGGACUAUCAGUUAGUUGGCAGUGUAAUGGACUACCAAGACUAUGACGGGUAACGGGGAAUCACGGUUUGAUACCGGAGAGGGAGCCUGAGAGAUAGCUCCCACGUCCAUGGACGGCAGCAGGCGCGAAAAUUGCCCACUCUUUGUAGGAGGCAGUUAUGAGACGUGAAGUUGAAUAUUUUGUAAAGAAGAAUAGGAAAAUUGAAGGGCAAGUUUGGUGCCAGCAUCCGCG